GACUCUGUAGCUCAGUGGUUAGAGCAUACGAUUGCAAUUUCAGAAGCUGUUUAUCGUGGGGUCCCGGGUUCAAAUCUCGGCAGGGUCU